GAAUUCCCCCUAAAACCCAUUAUUUUCCCACUGAAACCCUAACUUUGCAAACAGGCCUUCUCUCUCGCUUUCUCUUCCUCCCUCCCUCCCUGCGACAUUAUAACAAAAAUCCCCAAAAAAAUUUAACAAGAAGAGAUUAUAUUCAAAAAUAAAAAAAGAAGAGGAAAAUGGACGCACCAAAGACGAUUCAGCAUGAAAUGGAAGCAAUAAGCUGAAGAUCUGUUUGUGAGAAUCGGAAGAGGACCAGUUCACUUUUACGAAAUCUGCUUGAUGUUAUUGAGGAAGUACAUAUAGCACGGUUAGACAUUAGGGGUCUGAUUCUUACUAGCUUCUGUUCUCCAUCUGGUACACUAUUAUCUCCUCUUUAUUAUGUUUCUUAAAUUUGUGGUUGUGAUGCCGUGGGCUGAAAUUCUUUCUUUGAGAAUUUGACUUUUGAUUCUUUUCUUCAGGAAAACAAAGUAGAGAUGAUGGAUGACUAGAUCAUAUUUCUCGUUUGAUAUAAUGCCAUUUGAAACCUAUGAAUGCUUAUCCUGCUACGAACUGUUUUACUUAUUAUUUUGUUUUUUGUUUUUAUUUAUUGGAAUGGAGCUUAGCGUUUUGGGUGCUCUUGUUUUUAUUUAUGAGUGGUAGGAUAUAAGUCAUAAAACUAGGGAAGGAAAAGUUUUUCUAUUUCCAAGAUUCUUUCUUCAGUUAGUUUAACAUAUUCAAGGUAAAGGAUUUUAAUGAUAGCUGGUGCAAGACCAUUCAAAGUUUUAGUGUUCCUCUCUUUUCCGGUUUGUUUAAGUGUGGUUGUAAAAAGGUUUGGCAUAGCCCACACAUGGCUUGGUGAAGUUAAAUCUAUGCAAAAAAUGGCUUGGUGACUGUUCAAUAUAUAGGUUCAUAGUUCUCAACUUGUUGUUAAGUUUAUGUGUGCAUUGAUGGUUAAUGAUAAUUGUUAAAAUGGAUUUGAAUUGCUUAUUUUGAUGAUGAAAUCAUUAAUUCUCAAUGGCCAGAGGAAAUGCCUCUGUGCCUGCCAUGGAAAUGGCCAAGUGGUUUGACACCAACUAGUAAGUUGCUAUUUCUUGGCCUAUUUUAUCAGCUUUUCCAUGCAUACUGAGAUUUUGGUACUAAUACUAAUUCCCAAUUUUCAAUUGCAAUCCAUCUAAAAUAGCCUUUUUAUCUCCAUUCGAUAUAUAACGUUGUUGGCCUAUUCAUUUUUAGGCAUAUUCAAAGUCUGCAGUUUACAUGAGCCAUGCUUCGUGUGACAACAAACAUCGCUCGGGAAGGUCUCGUUAUUGGUUCCUAACGUUUUUGCACUUGCAAAGCUUAUGAAUGUCAGUGAAGAUGAGAGUCAACUUUCUGCUAUAGCUAGCCUACUGAUUUUCUUUACAGAGCUAUUUUAAAUAUAUUAUCGUUGGAGAAUGUGAAGAUUUUGACAUAUUUCAAUCACAAGAUGAUAUUUUAUAUGGGCACAUGUUUCUUAACUUUGCCAUGGCUGUACUGGUGUUCACUUGAGUUCAUGUUUGGAGGAAAUUUUUGACAGUAUAUUACAUAUGUUGUGCAUGGUUGCAGAGCAAGGAGUGUUUAGAGAAAGUUACUCAAACAUUAUCUUUUCUUGCUCAACCACGAGAAUCUCACUUGCUUUUGCUUACGGGAGAGGUGCAGAGGGAUAGAGCUGCAGAGCUUUUGGGUUUGCGUGCAUGCAAUUUUCAGCCACGACAUUCGAACAAACUUGGAAAUGAGUUUCGGGUGUUCACAAACUAUGACCCUGGGGAGAGAUUAGGAGGAUGGGAGCAAGAACAAUAGGUGCCUUUUUCUUGCCAUCGUUUGCUAGGAAUAUUUUUCUCAUGGAUGAGCUUCAUGCAACCUAAUUUUUAUCCAUUAUCAAGGCAUUUCCAACACUUACCCUUGGAAAAAUUAACUAGCUUUUCUGCUAAUUUUCCCGUAGAAAACAUGAAAACAUGCAGAUGAGAAAACUUCCAAGCAAGUUCAUCCUCAUAUUAUGCAUUUUGGUCUACUUUUUUAAACUAGUGCAAUUUUCCUCACUUGUGUAGAUUUCGUAAUACAUAAAACUAUUUAAGGUUGUUUAAAGUUGUACUGACUCAUACCUACUCAUUGCCAUUUUGAAAUGUAAUUAGGAAGUUGUUCCAAAACACACAAUACAGAUGGAAGAAGCCAUACAAGUUUCUCAUAUGUAUUAUUUAUUUUAGUUUUGAUUCUAAUUUUU